CGCGUAGGCGGCCUAUUAAGUCUGGAGUGAAAGUCCUGCUUUCAAGGUGGGAAUUGCUUUGGAUACUGGUAGGCUUGAGUGCAGGAGAGGUAAGUGGAAUUCCCAGUGUAGCGGUGAAAUGCGUAGAGAUUGGGAGGAACACCAGUGGCGAAGGCGCCUUUCUGGACUGUGUCUGACGCUGAGAUGCGAAAGCCAGGGUAGCAAACG
rnacentral:rRNA from 1 species